GCCCGGAUGGUGAAAUUGGUAGACACGCUAGGUUCAGGGUCUAGUGGCCGCAAGGCUGUGGAGGUUCGAGUCCUCUUCCGGGCA
rnacentral:tRNA from 1 species